rnacentral:lncRNA from 1 species
CCCCGCGGCCAGCGCAUCUUCCUUCCGGGUCGCGCUGGGCCGGGCUCGCAGCCGUCGCGCCGCUGCGCGGGAGCCUGGGAGCCGCCCCCCGGCGCCCCGGCCUCCCCGCGCCGCCCGGUAGCUGUUGAAGCCCACGGCGCGCGCCUCUCCCGGACCCUGCAGGGUAAAAGAAUAUCCUAUUUCUACAUUUGUAUCUGAAAUCAGCGUGUAAUUUUCCGCCCACAUGGAUGAGUGCCAACUUUUGCAUUUCCAGUGCAUAUCCUACGACCAUUCUCCCUGGGCAAGCCAUUCAUCUUUUUAGAACAUCCUUCAAAGAGUUCAUGCGUCUUACCGAGGACACCUGACCUUUUGAAGCCUCAUAAUUCACAUCUAGAUGUCACCGGUCUUUCCCAUGUUAACAGUUCUGACUAUGUUUUAUUAUAUGUGCCUUCGGCGCCGAGCCAGGAUAGCUACACGAGGAGAAAUAAUGAACAGCCAUAGGACUAUAGAAUCAAACAGCCGGGCUUCCCCUCUCAAUGCAGAGGUGGUCCAGUAUGCCAAAGAAGUGGUUGAUUUCAGCUCCCAUUAUGGGAGUGAGAAUAGCAUGUCCUAUACCAUGUGGAACUUAGCAGGUGUCCCAAACGUGUUCCCAAGUUCUGGUGACUUCACUCAGACGGCUGUGUUUCGAACUUACGGAACGUGGUGGGACCAGUGUCCUAGUGCUUCUGUACCGUUCAAGAGGACGCCACCUAACUUUCAGAGCCAAGACUACGUGGAACUUGCUUUUGAACAGCAGGUGUAUCCCACAGCUGUUCACGUUCUGGAAACUUACCAUCCUGGAGCAGUCAUUAGAAUUCUAGCUUGUUCUGCAAAUCCCUAUUCCCCAAGUCCACCAGCGGAAGUCAGAUGGGAGAUUCUUUGGUCAGAGAAACCUACGAAGGUGAAUGCUUCCCAGGCUCGCCAGUUUAAACCUUGUAUUAAGCAGAUAAAUUUCCCCACAAAUCUUAUACGGCUGGAAGUAAAUAGUUCUCUUCUGGAUUAUUACACUGAAUUAGAUGCAGUUGUAUUACAUGGUGUGAAGGACAAGCCACUGCUUUCUCUCAAGACUUCACUUAUUGACAUGAAUGAUCUAGAUGAAGAUGACUAUGAAGAAAAGGAUGGUUGUGGAAUGGACAAUCUGAACAAAAAGUUUAGCAGUAUUGCCCUCAGGGAAGGGCCAAGUAAUGGAUAUUUUGAUAAACUACCUUAUGAGCUCAUUCAACUGAUUCUGAAUCAUCUUACACUACCAGAUUUGUGUAGAUUAGCACAGACGUGCAAACUACUGAACCAGCAUUGCUGUGAUCCUCUGCAGUACAUCCACCUCAAUCUGCAACCAUACUGGGCAAAACUAAAUGACACCUCUCUGGAAUUUCUGCAAGCUCGCUGUACUCUCGUCCAGUGGCUUAAUUUAUCUUGGACUGGCAAUAGGGGCUUCAUCUCUGUUGCAGGAUUUAGCAGGUUUCUGAAGGUCUGUGGAUCUGAAUUAGUACGCCUUGAAUUAUCUUGCAGCCAUUUCCUUAAUGAAACUUGCUUGGAGAUUAUUUCUGAGAUGUGUCCAAAUCUACAGGACUUAAAUCUCUCAUCCUGUGAUAAACUACCACCUCAGGCUUUCAACCACAUUGCCAAAUUAUGCGGCCUUAAACGACUCAUUCUCUAUCGAACAAAAGUAGAGCAAACAGGCCUGCUCAGCAUUUUGAACUUCUGCUCAGAGCUUCAGCACCUCAGUUUGGGUAGUUGUGUCAUGAUUGAAGACUACGAUGUGAUAGCCAGCGUGAUAGGAGCCAAAUGUAAAAAACUCCGCACUCUGGAUCUGUGGAGAUGUAAGAAUAUCACCGAGAAUGGGAUUGCAGAGCUGGCUUCUGGGUGUCCGCUUCUGGAAGAACUUGACCUUGGUUGGUGCCCCACUCUGCAGAGCAGCACUGGGUGCUUUGCCAAACUGGCCCGCCAGCUUCCGAACUUGCAGAAACUCUUCCUAACAGCUAACAGGUCUGUGUGUGACACAGACAUUGAAGAACUGGCAUGUAAUUGUACCAGAUUACGCCAACUGGACAUACUAGGAACAAGAAUGGUAAGUCCAGCAUCCUUAAGAAAACUCCUGGAAUCUUGUAAAGAUCUUUCCUUGCUCGAUGUGUCCUUCUGUUCCCAGAUUGAUAAUAGAGCUGUGCUAGAACUCAAUGUGAGCUUUCCGAAAGUGUUCAUAAAAAAGAGCUUUACUCAAUGACUUAAUAGAUGUUCUAUAAUAAAAUUAAUGUGCUUUCGUAGGGUUUUGUUUGCGGGUUGGUUUUGUUUUGUUUUUAUAAUGGUGGGAAUGUCUUUGUAUCCCAUUAAGACAUUAGUGGCUUUUAAAGAAAAAUAUGGAAUUGUCCAUUAAAUCAAUGAUGUAAGCACAUUGUAAUCAUUGUAAUGAUGUAAAUCACAAAAUAUUUUAAGCACUUUAAGAAUGUGUGAGUAGCUCAUAUUAUUUUUAUCUUUUGUUAAUCUGUGAUAUUAUGCUUUAGUCAAUAAUUACAUGUUUAAUAAAAGUAAUAUGGAAAUAUUUUAACUUAUUUUGAAAGGAGCACUUUGAGCAAUAAAGUAUCAUGAUAUUUAUGCAAAACAUUAAAUAAAAGUAAUUUUUCACACCU